UCAGGAUGAACGCUGGCGGCGUGCCUAACACAUGCAAGUCGAGCGAGAAACCUGUAAUUGACGCUCGGUUGAUUUACAGGCGGAAAGCGGCGGACGGGUGAGUAACGCGUAGGCAACCUGCCCCUUGCACAGGGAUAGCCUCGGGAAACCGGGAUUAAAACCUGAUGACACCGCACUUUCACAUGUAAGAGCGGUCAAAGAUUUAUCGGCAAGGGAUGGGCCUGCGUCUGAUUAGUUAGUUGGUGGGGUAACGGCUCACCAAGGCAAUGAUCAGUAGCCGACCUGAGAGGGUGAUCGGCCACAUUGGAACUGAGACACGGUCCAAACUCCUACGGGAGGCAGCAGUGGGGAAUAUUGCACAAUGGGCGAAAGCCCGAAUGCAGCAACGCCGCGUGAGCGAAGAAGGCGGAAUCGUCGUAAAGCUCUGUCCUUGGGGAAGAAGAACUGACGGUACCCUUGGAGGAAGCCCCGGCUAAAUACGUGCCAGCCGCCGC
rnacentral:rRNA from 1 species